UACGAAGGGGGGCGAGCGUUGUUCGGAUUUACUGGGCGUAAAGGGCGCGCAGGCGGCUCAUUUUGUCAGGCGUGAAAGCCCCGGGCUUAACCUGGGAACUGCGUUUGAUACGGAUGGGCUAGAGUUCGGGAGAGGAGAGUGGAAUUCCCAGUGUAGAGGUGAAAUUCGUAGAUAUUGGGAAGAACACCGGUGGCGAAGGCGGCUCCUCGUCGGACCGAGACUGAGCGCAUG
rnacentral:rRNA from 1 species